AGCUGCCCUGUCAUCUGAUUUCUUCCAAAGUGCACCAUCAACAGAGCAGAUAGAGACAGAGCCCUGCCAGGGCCUCAGAUAAGGGCCAGACCUUGUGCCAGCGCAUAAGCCCGAACCCAGAUCUCUCCUCUAGGUUUUACUCCAUGAUCUCCAUUAUUCAUACCCUUGGAAUAAAUUACUCCAAUCAGACCACAUAGGGAGAAAAGUUCACUCCUGAUUACAAAAGGAUUGGUCCAAGAGGGAUGUGAUGGCUGGAGCUCCAACAACCAUUCUGUGAGACUGAAAGUAAAAGCAGAAGCCUGGUCUCUAGCAACAUCACAGGGCUGCCGUGAAACAGACCAGUUUGACUACCUCUGGACUUGUCACUAAAUUAGAUAAAUAUAAGCCCUCAGUUUGUAGAGGACACCAUAUCACAGUUUUUGUUAGCAGUUGUAGAAUGUAAUUUCUGAUAUAUUCUUUGAGAAGUUUCUGUUCUAAGGCCUGCCUGGGUUCCACCCAGCCUAUUACCCACCAAGCAGUCUA